CACAUUUUGCCUCCAUGCCAAACAAAGUAUACGAACAUAACCUCACUGCACCAUGGGCGGGCGCAUUUGGGAGAGGGAAAUUAUAGGAAAUUCUCUUCUCCCAUAUGUAGGGUCCACCCCCCCCCCCCCCCACACACACACACAGAGGGGUGCCGAAGUGGCGGCCCGCGUGGCACCCCAGCAAAAAAAAAAAAAAAAAAAGCGGCCGAAGCUUCAUGAACGGUUGUGGCAUUAUCAUUGGACUCUGUACUCGUGCAGUUUAUCUUGCGUUAAUUAGUGACAGAAAAUAUAUAUGUAACAGCCGAUGAUGCUCUGAGACAAGCGUGCCCAAUUGGCACAUGACAAUGGCGAAGACGAUAAAAGUAACACAAUGACAGCCAGGGAACGUCAAACUUUCAACCUUUAAUCAUGUCAUAAAAUGUUCAAAGUUCAACAUUUCCUGUCUGCCCCUGUGUGCUUUUAUGUCUUCGCUGAUGACUCUCUAAACCUGUCCUUGCGCCUGGUUUAUACUUGAUUGAUGUUACGAGUACACUCCUACCAAAAUUUAUGAGCAAACCCUACAUGGCCGAUUUGCAAUAUUGGUGCCUUCAAUGCCAUCAGAAACGGACUGGUUCAGUCGCAAACAAUUCGGUGGCGCUUGGUGAUCUCCCAGGUGAAUUCGAGCAAAGAUUAUUCGAGUGCAGGAGACUUGAAACAAAGGUUUUUGGCUCAACGUUUUCUGCAGUUGUUGACAACAUUCCUGGUGAUCAACAAAUGGAACUGAUUGACCUACAGUGCGGCGGCGCACCGAUAGGAAGUUCGCUGAAGUUGGUGCGGCUUCAUUUUAUUCUUACGUUGGACGAUGGCUUAAGCACCACAACCGGGGCUUUCAGACAAUGACAGUGAUGACAGCAAUGAAAAAGAGCAAUGUCCCGGCCGUCGUGGAUGAUACGAACAGCAACACCAUGCUUGACUUUGGCCUUCUUCUUUUUUGGCGUAGAAGCUCCUGAGGCGUUUCCUGAAGCAUUUCCUGAGGCAUUUCCUGCAACUAAGUGCGAGAACCAUGCGCUGAGCAGAUUCCUUGUUUUAGGAUUUGUCCAGUAAUGUUCCAUCACCAUCUUCCAGUAACAUUCGAGGAGUAAUAUUCUUCUACACCUUGGGAUCACCUAAAAAGCUACAACACUGCUCAGCUGCGAGUGUCUGACGACUAGUCUGACCAGAUUUAUGUACUGUACAUAUUUGCAUGAUUCUAACGUGCACUUUUUUCCACUCAAAAUAUGCGCUCGAAAUCACAUGCACAUUACAAUCGUGUCCUCCGUGUUCAGAUAACAAGAUUAAGGGGCACGUCAUCAGGGAUUGCUCCAUUUUGUGCCUGACCCUUAUUUCUCAUGGAAAUGACAUAAAUACAAAUACAAAAGAUUAACAGCUCAGUGAAACAUGGCUAGCCGCAUCGUCAUAGACACCACUUCGUGGCGACCAUCACGCGAUCUCGUUAUUUAAUCACUGCGUCGUUUACGAGUUUCUUUUUUUUAUUCCGUGUAAGCGCCUCAAAUCAACUGUGGUUAUGAGUGGCGUACAGAUGUCGUGAGAUGGAGAGAGAGGACAGCAAGGAGGAGUGGGGGAUAGGAGGGUUAAUAUGCACCCUGGGCCGACCGUUUACGAGUUUCGUAAGUGCUUCAUGCACAUGGGAUGAGCGGGAGAGUGCAAUUACGCCCGCUGCCGUAUGCACCAGUGUACUCUGGCAGCGGUGGCAUGCUUCGCACCGAAGUUGACCAUGUUCUACUCUCGAUAAGUUGUAAGGCAAUCGUGUGGGCCGAAAAAGAGAAUUGGGCACUGUUGUGUGCUUUGGGCGUCCCAGAGACAUAUGUGCAUGUGAGCUGAGCCGCGCUGUAAAAUUGGCGUCAAUAUAGCUUUUGGAUUUUCGGGAGUUAUGUACGCCUGCGCAUUACAUUCGGGAGCACAUCAGAAUCGAGCAAAUAUGGUGUUUGUAAUUAUGAGAGGUCAAAUGAAUGUAUGAUUUCUAUGUGAAGCUCUUACUUGCCUUACCUAAGUGAUAUUUAGGCAGAUAUUAUUGUGCAAGUUCUCAUUCUUAUGCUGCUCAUUUAAAACAGAUUGUGCAUGCUACUGCUGGCACCUAACCAUGCAUGUGUCCUUUAUCAGACAAACUCAGGUCAAUCGAUGUGAGCCACUUGAAAUGUCCUAAAUGUUCCAAAAACUGCAGGAAGAAUAAGUUCCACGGUAAAUCUAAACCGUGACAUAUCAGAACAGCAACAUUUUUCUUUAACAGAAAAUGGAUAUCCUCGUGCACUUUGCCUCGAGGCUUUAUAAAGAGGGAGAGAACAACAUCCGAAUGAACAAAGAUUGAUAUUUUGUUACUUUGUAGUUUAGCACCCUCAAUUUUGGACAAAAGUUUCUUGCAUCAUUGCUGCUGCUACUUUGUUUUCUCUAUUUGUGACGAGAAACAAAAAACUGAGUCCUCCUGGAAAACAUUCCCAGUUCUCGAUUCCAACCUUGUGUAUUGCUGUAAAAUCUACAAAUUGCUGCUCAACUACAGUAAAAAUAAAAGUAUAUAAAGUAAAGCAAGUAAUUAGUGUAAAGUAAAGUAUAUAUAGUAUAAAAUAUUUCAGGGCUUUGACAUACCUUGCUCAUCCUGACCCAACUUUUUGCGUUGGGUUGCAAGAAGUACCUCUGUUGCUACAUCAGAAAGUGGCCUGAGGUUAGGCGAGUGGACGUCGCACACGGAAGUCACUGCCAGUGGCAUCGCUCUGGGUGCGGGACCUGGUUCCAGCUUUACAAAUCCUCCACUCUUUGCUGUGCUGAGCUGAGCCUCCAGCUGAGAGUGACGUUGACGGAGUCGUCUUUUCUCUCCAUCCAGGUGUAAUGAAAGGGCCUUCAGGCCAUUCAGGUAUUUCACCGCCUGCAUGGAAGGUAAAAUAUGGCUGUAUCACAUUAUUUAAAGGGACUGUGAAAUGAUUCUCCCAAAUAUGCAAAGUCGAGUCCUAUGCUGAUGCGAUAUCGCAGUAGGGAAUUACUGCACACAGAGUAUCUGACACUGUGAGAGAU